rnacentral:tRNA from 1 species
GGGCUCAUGGUCUAGUGGUCAUGACAACGCCCUUACACGGCGUAGGUCCCCGGUUCGAAUCCGGGUGAGCCCA